rnacentral:rRNA from 1 species
UACGUAGGGUGCAAGCGUUGUCCGGAAUUAUUGGGCGUAAAGAGCUCGUAGGCGGUCUGUCGCGUCUGCUGUGAAAACCCGAGGCUCAACCUCGGGCCUGCAGUGGGUACGGGCAGACUAGAGUGCGGUAGGGGAGAAUGGAAUUCCUGGUGUAGCGGUGGAAUGCGCAGAUAUCAGGAGGAACACCGAUGGCGAAGGCAGUUCUCUGGGCCGUAACUGACGCUGAGGAGCGAAAGCGUGGGGAGCGAACAGG